rnacentral:tRNA from 1 species
GCCCCUGUAGCUCAGUGGAUAGAGCAUCGGAUUCCGGUUCCGGGUGCGCUGGUUCGAUUCCAGUCAGGGGUACCA